AUGCUUGGAGUCUAGUGUAGUCUCCUAAGUGGGUCAUGCUCUGAUAGAUGUAACAUCGGGAGGGAACAUUUUUAAUAUUGUUGUUGAUGAUUGUUGAACCAGUUUACAUGUAGUAUGUUGCAUGUUUUGAAUGAUCGAUUUGAUCUCUAUCCGCUGCGUAUUGUGCAAAUGUUUUAUGUUUUGAGUUAAUGAAAGAGCAUGACAGUUAUUAUGGUGUGAAAUGUUGUGUGACACCCUUGAUUGCAUAUUCACUCUGAUUGAUAUGUGU
rnacentral:lncRNA from 1 species